rnacentral:rRNA from 1 species
AGAGUUUGAUCCUGGCUCAGAACGAACGCUGGCGGCAUGCCUAACACAUGCAAGUCGAACGAUAAGCCACUUCGGUGGUGGACAGUGGCGCACGGGUGAGUAACACGUGGGGACCUGCCUGAUAGUAGGGAAAAACAGUUGGAAACGACUGCUAAUACCUUAUACGCCCUUCGGGGGAAAGAUUUAUCGCUAUCAGAUGGACCCGCGCUAGAUUAGAUAGUUGGUGAGGUAAUGGCUCACCAAGUCUGCGAUCUAUAGCUGGUUUGAGAAGAUGAUCAGCCACAUUGGGACUGAGACACGGCCCAGACCCCUACGGGAGGCAGCAGUGGGGAAUAUUGUACAAUGGGCGCAAGCCUGAUACAGCAAUGCCGCGUGAGUGAAGAAGGCCUUAGGGUUGUAAAACUCUUUCGCUAGGGAAGAUAAUGACGGUACCUAGUAAAGAAGUCCCGGCUAACUCCGUGCCAGCAGCCGCGGUAAUACGGAGGGGACUAGCGUUGUUCGGAAUUACUGGGCGUAAAGAGUUCGUAGGCGGAUAAGCAAGUAAGAGGUGAAAGCCCGGGGCUCAACCCUGGAACUGCCUUUUAAACUGCUUGUCUAGAGACCGAUAGAGGUUAGGGGAAUACCUAGUGUAGAGGUGAAAUUCGUAGAUAUUAGGUGGAACACCAGUGGCGAAGGCGCCUGACUGGAUCGGUACUGACGCUGAGGAACGAAAGCGUGGGGAGCAAACAGGAUUAGAUACCCUGGUAGUCCACGCCGUAAACGAUGAGUGCUAGAUGUUAGAAAGGCUUAGCCUUUUAGUGUCGCAGCUAACGCAUUAAGCACUCCGCCUGGGGAGUACGGUCGCAAGAUUAAAACUCAAAGGAAUUGACGG